CACGUAGGGGGCAAGCGUUGUCCGGAUUUAUUGGGCGUAAAGAGCUCGUAGGCGGUUCGGUAAGUCGGGUGUGAAACCUCCAGGCUCAACCUGGAGACGCCACCCGAUACUGCUGUGACUAGAGUCGGUAGGGGAGCGUGGAAUUCCUGGUGUAGCGGUGAAAUGCGCAGAUAUCAGGAGGAACACCAGCGGCGAAGGCGGCGCUCUGGGCCGGAACUGACGCUGAGGAGCGAAAGCGUGGGGAGCGAACAGG
rnacentral:rRNA from 1 species